CGACCCUGAAAAAGAAGAGGCCUUCCAUUAUAAUAUUCACGGCCCCGAAGAUACUGUCACCCCCUAAAGAAACAAAAGAUAAGUGGAAAAAUCUGUUGCUGUUACGCGGCUUGGGAUGAGUUUAACUGUGAUUCGUGAUUCUGAUUGCAACCAACGUACACCUUCCCUCGAGAGAGUUUGCGUGGGAGGUAGAAAAAACGUUCCUUUAGUCUGGGGAGCUCGGGUGGAUCAUGAGCGGUGCGGGGGCGGGGGUUCAGCCAGCAAGCCUUACCUCCUGCUGUCGCGGCGGCAAGAGUUUCUCCAUGACCAGGGGAUGAAGGAGAGAAGCAGCACGCCACACCCAGGAUGACUUAGACGGUGAAGGUGCUCUUGAAGUUCUGGGAUAUGAUGGGAAGAGACGCCGCACCCCACACCCAGGAUGACUUAGACGGUGAAGGUGUUCUUGAAGUUCUGGGAUAUGAUGGGAAGAGACGCCGCACCCCACACCCAGGAUGACUUAGACGGUGAAGGUGCUCUUGAAGUUCUGGGAUAUGAUGGGAAGAGACGCCGCACCCCACACCCAGGAUGACCUAGACGGUGAAGGUGCUCUUGAAGUUCUGGGAUAUGAUGGGAAGAUUAGCUAACGCGGCGUCCUCUAAAUGACUAAGGCCGGAAUUUUAAGACACUUUCGCUUCUCACAUCAACUAUUUCUAAAGGUCAAAGAGGGGCUUAAUCGGGUUCUAAUGAGUGCUUUUUUAGUUUCAUGCUACUGAGGAAGGGUUAAACUACCACCAGGGUCAUAAAACUACUCCUGGAAUUGACCUAAACUCAUAUGAAAGCCUUGUCAAAUAUGUGAACUUGGGCGACGAAAUGUUUUAAAAUACGACCCUUAACAUAAUCUAGCCUAACACCCUCUGGCCCCCUUAUGCAUACAUUUUCGGUACUUUCUUGAAGGGAUCUGUCACGUUGGCUCUCACUACAUGACUGCCAAGCCUGUUUCACUCGUUGACCAUUUUAGUGAACCAUUUCUUGACUGUCUCUUUUAAUCUGAAUUUAUCUAUCUUAUACCCUUUGCUAUGAGUCCCUUGACUUAAUGAAACCAACCUGGUGUUUCUUGGGCCUUAACAUAAUAUGAUAGUUCAAAGCAGAGUUUGGAAGUUCUUGGUCAGGAGUUAAGGUCUUGUUGGUUAAGAUAAUGUAACCUUUGUUGGGGCGUGGGUGUUUAUUUUGCCCUCCGGUAAGGUUGAUCAUCUGACUUUUUUUUUUUUUUACAGCAAAGGAAACAGCACAAGGGCACACAAAGAGGGAAACAAUAAAAAAAGCCCGCUACUCGCUGCUCCUGUAAAGAAUCCGAAGAGGUGGCGAUGUUGGCCCAUCAUUUCCUUGACUUAUACGACCCCUUUUCUGAUUCAGAUUUCACUUUUUGAUGACAUGUAAAACUAAAAGAUAAAUGCGUUUGGGAAUGUGCAUGAAAAUUAUCUCAUCUUCUACUUGCCGAUAAUUUCUUUUCUCCUUUCUUC